AAGACUAUAGACCUGCGGAGUACCUGCGGAAGGAUCAUUAACGUUGGGGACUAACAAUCCCUCAGCGAGAUAGAACCCUUGCCUUUUCGAGUACCACACGUUUCCUCGGCAGGUACGCCUGCCAAUGGGGACCACAACAAAACCUUUUGUAAUAGCAGUAAACGUCUUAGAAACAAAACUUUUAAAACUUUCAACAACGGAUCUCU
rnacentral:misc_RNA from 1 species